UCUUUCUCAUGCUAAACUAGGCCCUGAUUCUGAACUGCCUGGUUGCUUCACUGAGCAUACCUGUGCAUAACUGCACAUCGGUGUGAGUGAUCUCUCACCUGUCAUCUUCUCACCCUCUGGCAUUCAAGCACACAGAAAUGACGUCACCAUCAUAAACGUGUCCACGGCCCUGAAUUGAGCAAUUUGGCUCAGUUUUGAAGUUGAAUGGGUGGUCUUUUUCAGUGCUGCACUUCCUUAUGCAGUGGAGAAUUUGUUUCCUAAAGCUGGAUCUCUAAGAAUGAAACCCCCCUCUCCCAUCUGGAGGAGAAUGUACCUGUCACAUCCCCUUAACAUCUUAAUGUUAAUCGUGACGGACGCACCCCUCAGCAUUGUAACGUUAACCGUGACAGGAAGCUUCCCCGCGUGCUUUGUCAGCGGAGGCUGCUUCCGAAGAGAUAUGUUGUCGUAUGGGUUUCAGUCAGGUGAGCAAAAAGCCAAGCCUAGACUAUUCAGGAGCUCCUCACUGCCAAAAUGCGAACACACACAUAGACGGGCCUAAGUAAUUUACUGUCUGCUCCCAGUCGUCCUCUCCACUCGUUGUGGGGUCCGAGGCUGUAUAUUACUGCUGGACCUUCGGAGAGAGCAAUAAAGCCAUAAUACAUUGCCUAAAUAUUGGGUUUCAUAAAGUGCUCAGCAAUGUUAUGGAGAGGGAUUUAGGUUCAGCCUUUUGAUAUUCUCUUUCCCCAGCCUUCUGCUCAUGAGAAUGACAACGCUGGUAAAACACGUAACUGUGUGGACCCCGGAUUCGAGGUGUGACGUAGGGUGGGCUCGUGCUACUGAUGCAGAGACCACAGCAGCAAUGAACCCCUGGUUACACAGUGAACUACCCAGAUGGCCAACAAACAUCUCUCUCUGUGUUUGGCAUGUGUUAUGCACAUGCACACGCACAGUUUGCAUGCAUAUAUGGGGUAUAUGAAAGAAAGAUUGCUUCCUUGCUGUCAUUUAUUAGGACACACAGUCCCCCUUAUCCUAUCCCCUAGCACAGGUGUAGCCUACGUCCACAUUGUUAAUGAUGUCACUUCCUGUACCCUAUCUGGGAUAGAGGCUGUGUUAGUGGACAGUUUUGUCACCUGCAGUUGUGAUGCAGAGAAGUGUGCUCAGUAUUGAGUGGUUAUGAACAAAAGCUGGCAUAGUUAAUAUGUUAUUUAGUUAUGGCUGUUUGGCUGUUUUAUCAGCCUUAAUACUGGGGGGAUGUAUUAAAUCAGUAAAGUUCCUUUAAUGGCAGUAUAAUUUAUCACUUACCCUACACUACAGGCUACAGGAGCUGAAUUCUGCCUGUAAAAUUAUGCCGUGAGGCAGUUGUGGUAACUGAAGCUCUGUCUCUGUUUACACUGUGCUUUUUACGUUACGGUCUUUUUCCUUGGCCUGUGUAUUUUCUGGAUUUCUCACCUGAAGCCUUUGCAAACAGCGACUGACAGCCGGCCAGACCUUGUACAGGUUAUUUGAGUUAAAAACCUCAGUGGGUUAUACUGCCCCCUGGUGUUCGCUCAGGUCACUGACGCAGCAUGGACACCGGUCUCUCUUAAAUCCCUGCGGUGUGUGUGUGUAUGUGAGUGUGAGAGAGACUCAGAGAGAGAAGGAGAGACCUCAUCAGUGUCCUUACAUACUGUGAAUCCAGGGGUGUUUCUAAGACUGGUUGUACAUUACUGCCUGAGAAAUAUGAAUCCUAUGAAUGGAGCAGUAUGUGAACAUGUGCAGAGUAGAGAAAAGAUUUUCUUUGAUCAUGAUUUAUGACAUGGGUUUAUUCUGGUAAAUUGAAACAUUGGCUUUGAAAGUUGUAAUCCGCAUGGUAGUUACAGUAAGGGUAAUGGAGAUAAUGUGCAUGAUUUAUGACAAAAAGUGGUGAUGACUUUUAUCAGAAAUUUCUUCAUUUGUCAUUCAUGUAUUAGAGCUUUUAUGCAUAGCACAAGAUAAAAAAAUAA